rnacentral:rRNA from 1 species
GAUUAGUGGCGAACGGGUGAGUAACACGUGAGUAACCUGCCCUUGACUCUGGGAUAAGCCUGGGAAACUGGGUCUAAUACCGGAUACGACCAUUCCACGCAUGUGGUGGUGGUGGAAAGCUUUUGUGGUUUUGGAUGGACUCGCGGCCUAUCAGCUUGUUGGUGGGGUAAUGGCCUACCAAGGCGACGACGGGUAGCCGGCCUGAGAGGGUGACCGGCCACACUGGGACUGAGACACGGCCCAGACUCCUACGGGAGGCAGCAGUGGGGAAUAUUGCACAAUGGCGCAAGCUGAUGCAGCGACGCCGCGUGGAGGGAUGACGCUUCGGGUUGUAACCUCUUUCAGUAGGGAAGAAGCGUAAGUGACGGUACUGCAGAAGAAGCGCCGGGCUAACUACGUGCCAGCAGCCGCGGUAAUACGUAGGGCGCAAGCGUUAUCGGAAUUAUUGGGCGUAAAGAGCUCGUAGGCGGUUUGUCGCGUCUGCUGUGAAAGACCGGGGCUCAACUCCGGUUCUGCAGUGGGUACGGGCAGACUAGAGUGCAGUAGGGGAGACUGGAAUUCCUGGUGUAGCGGUGAAAUGCGCAGAUAUCAGGAGGAACACCGAUGGCGAAGGCAGGUCUCUGGGCUGUAACUGACGCUGAGGAGCGAAAGCAUGGGGAGCGAACAGGAUUAGAUACCCUGGUAGUCCAUGCCGUAAACGUUGGGCACUAGGUGUGGGGGACAUUCCACGUUUUCCGCGCCGUAGCUAACGCAUUAAGUGCCCCGCCUGGGGAGUACGGCCGCAAGGCUAAAACUCAAAGGAAUUGACGGGGGCCCGCACAAGCGGCGGAGCAUGCGGAUUAAUUCGAUGCAACGCGAAGAACCUUACCAAGGCUUGACAUGAACCGGAAAGACCUGGAAACAGGUGCCCCGCUUGCGGUCGGUUUACAGGUGGUGCAUGGUUGUCGUCAGCUCGUGUCGUGAGAUGUUGGGUUAAGUCCCGCAACGAGCGCAACCCUCGUUCUAUGUUGCCAGCGCGUGAUGGCGGGGACUCAUAGGAGACUGCCGGGGUCAACUCGGAGGAAGGUGGGGACGACGUCAAAUCAUCAUGCCCCUUAUGUCUUGGGCUUCACGCAUGCUACAAUGGCCGGUACAAAGGGUUGCGAUACUGUGAGGUGGAGCUAAUCCCAAAAAGCCGGUCUCAGUUCGGAUUGGGGUCUGCAACUCGACCCCAUGAAGUCGGAGUCGCUAGUAAUCGCAGAUCAGCAACGCUGCGGUGAAUACGUUCCCGGGCCUUGUACACACCGCCCGUCAAGUCACGAAAGUUGGUAACACCCGAAGCCGGUGGCCUAACCCUUGUGGGGGGAGCCGUCGAAGUGACCGUUGUUU